GAUGAACGCUGGCGGCGUGCCUAAUACAUGCAAGUCGAGCGAACGGACGAGAAGCUUGCUUCUCUGAUGUUAGCGGCGGACGGGUGAGUAACACGUGGAUAACCUACCUAUAAGACUGGGAUAACUUCGGGAAACCGGAGCUAAUACCGGAUAAUAUUUUGAACCGCAUGGUUCAAAAGUGAAAGACGGUCUUGCUGUCACUUAUAGAUGGAUCCGCGCUGCAUUAGCUGUUGGUAAGGUAACGGCUUACCAAGGCAACGAUGCAUAGCCGACCUGAGAGGGUGAUCGGCCACACUGGAACUGAGACACGGUCCAGACUCCUACGGGAGGCAGCAGUAGGGAAUCUUCCGCAAUGGGCGAAAGCCUGACGGAGCAACGCCGCGUGAGUGAUGAAGGUCUUCGGAUCGUAAAACUCUGUUAUUAGGGAAGAACAUAUGUGUAAGUAACUGUGCACAUCUUGACGGUACCUAAUCAGAAAGCCACGGCUAACUACGUG
rnacentral:rRNA from 1 species